rnacentral:lncRNA from 1 species
CCCAGCUACGCGAUUGAUAUUAGACAUAUCAUCGCUCCUUUUAUAUAGCCCGUCGUACCUCAACUCAACUUAGUAUUUGGAACAGGUAUAUGCAAUGUAUAUGACCCGCCCAAGACUCAGGUGGGUUGGUUCGGUUUGGGUUAGUACUAUACGACAUAGUCCAAUCUCCUUCUCUAUUGGUUUGAGCUCAUUAAUUGACGAAAUCAAACAGGUUUGAUCAGUUAAAGCUGAUUUAGGGUGAUUCCAAACUAACUUGACUGGUUCAAACCUAUUUGACCUAAUCGAGAUCAAUCAAAUCUAAAUUAGACCGGUUUAGGGUGAUU